GGGGAGAUGAUGAUCCUUUCCCCAAAUGAUCGACGCUGAACAUAACAUGCGCUUUUCUUUAUAUUCUCUUCGGAGAAGACCAAGCCAGGACUCUGAUCCUC